rnacentral:lncRNA from 1 species
CUUGCUGGAAAGGACGAUGCGGAAUGAAAAGUCCGCGGUCGCCGGUUGAUCGAUCCCGGCUAGCACGCGCGCCUGCGCGCGUUCCCACCGGCCUGGGCGAGCACCGAGCAGCAGGCGAUACCGCUCGGGGGCAGCGCCCGGUGCGGUACGUGCCGUACGUACGUUGGCGGUUGGCUUGACUAGUAGUUCACGGCCCCGCGCCGCGUCCCGCGUCGAGCGCCCGUACGUGGGCGCACCGGCCGCAGUUGGACUCGCUCGGCUCGAUCGCGCGCGGGGAUCGGAGACCAGGCAGGCACGCGCGCGCGCCGGCGUCGCGGUAGAUGCAACCGCGGCUGCCGUGUACGCGCGCGCCGCGGUGCCGGUUGACCGUGGAAGCAGUGGGGCUGCCGGGCUGGUGGCGCGCGGGCGCGGUGAAGUCGCCGCAGCCUUUCACACACGCGCACGGAGGGUCAGACACCGAAGCGCGCGCGCGUUUCGGGCGUUGCAGUGCCGGGGACGGACACGACAAGUUUGUGGAAGCAGUAGCGCUUUCGUUCUGUCGAACCGUGCGUGCAUGUCAGAUGUGGGCGGUCGCCGCCGCACGAACGUUAGGUGGAACUCGAUUCGUGGGAUGACGAGCUGGCUUUAUCUUUCUGGUGUCGGUGAAUCUAGAUUGCCGGUGGACCGCGGCGGCUAUGGAGCGUAAGCACACACUAGCUGCACGACGACUGUUCCGGACAUGACGGCGUUCCUGGACCCUCUCGGUCGCAGAUCUUUUGCACUGUUCAUUCAU